rnacentral:rRNA from 1 species
UACGUAGGGGGCAAGCGUUGUCCGGAAUUAUUGGGCGUAAAGAGCUCGUAGGCGGUGUGUCGCGGCGGCCGUGAAAACCUGUGGCUUAACUGCGGGCUUGCGGUCGAUACGGGCAUCACUGGAGUUCGGCAGGGGAGACUGGAAUUCCUGGUGUAGCGGUGAAAUGCGCAGAUAUCAGGAGGAACACCGAUGGCGAAGGCAGCACUCUGGGCCGGUACUGACGCUGAGGAGCGAAAGCGUGGGGAGCAAACAGG